AUGAAUGAAUGAAUGAAAAUCUUAAUGCACGGUGUUGCUGCCUGAAUUGUCUCUUUCUUGCAUGUCCAGCAUCUAAUAUUGUACAACUUAGUGUUAAUGUCAGUUUUAAUGAGAUUAAUUUAUUACUACGUAAGUACCUUUUUGUUAGCUAAAGGCACUUUUCUGUUCUUUGAUGUGAACUUUGCAUAAAUAUUCUGCAUCUAAGAUUUUGUGGACAUGGGUCUGUGCCAUAAUCAACAAAUGAUAAACAUUUUAGGCAAACCAUUUUUGUCAACCUAUCAUAAAGAGUAGGUAUGCACAUUAAGAAAAUUCUCUGGAUAGUUUCAUAAAAUUACAUAUUCUGUUUUCUGACAACAUUAUGCUUUCCAAACCAAAAUUUCCACAUUUGUUCUUAUUUUCCCACUUCAAUUUGAAAAUUAUUUAAUGCUGUGUUUGCAUUUAUGUAUAAUAAUGAUUGACAUCCAGGAAUUUCUUCAAUGUCUCAACUGUGGUUUGUAUACUGGUCGUAUACAAACUCACCCACUAGCUAAGGUUACAAGUGACAUGAACUUCCUCCCAACAAGAAAAAUUAAAAAAUUUUUAAAGGCCUUUACAUUAUUAUUAUUAUCUCAUGUAAUUCUUAUAUCUUAUCAGGUAGAUAUUACUUUCUUUUUCUAAUCACCAUACUUCACUGUAGCUCAUUAAGAGUCAACAUUGCAAUUAUCAAAUCUUUGAAAGCCAAAGGCAUACAUAUCAACAUGUCAUGAAAAUAUCUUCAAGUAAUCUCUUUUUAGAUAUUAUAUGCCAAAAAUUAAUUAUAACAUUUAAAAAUGUUCUAUAUAUAAGAAGUAAGCAGGGUACUGUACUGAUCCAGUGGUGACAAUUUUCAUAAAGUAAUCUUUUAGGUAGGUGCUCAAUAGAAAUAUAUACACUCACACACAUAUAUAUACAUAUACACACAUAUAUGUAUAUACACCCAUAUACAUUUAUAUGCAUAUUUACAUUUAUAAUCACAAAAUAUGCUCUCAUUGAUAUUUUCUAGACAACUGUUUGCUGAAUGCUUAAAGAGAAAUAUUGGUGGGAAAGCAUUAAAAUGAACUAUUGUCAGACAUAUUUAAUUAUAUCAAAGAAGUUUGUUUAUUUGACAUUUUAUUCUUAUUUAUAACUUUAGUAUCUAACUACUAGAAAAAUCAUAAAAUUUGGAUAUCUUAAAAAUAAACAAACCUGAUAGGUAGAUUCAUGACCAAGUGUGUCUGACUAUACUGUAUAUUUUACCUAAGUUGCGAAUAAGUGGAAAUUUUCCAAAGAGAAUUAUACCAGGUAGCUUAAUAGAGUAAAAAGCUAUUCACUUAAAAUAUUGAUGUUUCCCCACACCUAAGAAGUCACAGGCCUUUUCCAGUCCCUUUUGUCACCCCCUUCCCCAGCCCCCCAGCCUGCAGGAUGUCCCUCUCUUCCAGGCACUUCCCUGGAAAUCAAAGCACAUGCCUGCCCGGUUCUCCCUGUCCAACAAGGAGGUGGGGAACUCUAGACAAGAAUGAAUGAAUAUAAAGAUCUUUAUUGAUUUUUCACUCCUUCAAAUACCUCUUUGCCAAUAGAAAAGAUUCUUAAGCUAUUAUAUUUUCAGAAUGGAAAAGGAAGAUAUAAAUGACUGAAUGUUUUGGUUUUGAUGUUCUUUCAAUCUUAGAUACCAUCUUUUAUAUUUAUAUUUACUUAGUCGGGCCUAAGUCAGUUAAUGGAAUCUUUAGGUAGGUAGAAUUUUCCUGCAAGUGGCUCUUGAAUGAGGGGAAUCCUUUAAAAUGACCAUUUCAAUAUCUUUUUUGUUAAAUGAUAGCAAAUUUCCUGGUACAUUUUGUCAUGCGGAGUUGUGUAGGAUCCAAAUGACGUCACUCACACCUGUUUGCCAGGGUAGUGCCCUCAGAGCCACCUUGGGCCCCUGGCAGUAUCACAGAGGAACCAGCUUCUUGUCAUUCCUGGGGUUACAAAGAAAACAGGAUGAAGAAUUUCUCUAGUGUCUGAUUACAGCUCUGGGGAAUGCAGGUGAGGCCCCUGUGCUUAGUCCACUGGUAAGCUAAGCUCUAAAGGCUGCCUUUCCUUCCCGCUAGGCUCUUCCACAUGCAGAUAACUUGAGAGGGAUGGAGAGGAAUCACAGCAACAAACAUCCACUUCCUGUCAGUCUCCUUUUUUCUGAGGAAGAACUUGCUUUUCAAGAAGGAAAGGGACAGAGUCGGGCCUAAGUAAAAUUUCAGUAUAAACUUAAUUUUUCUCCUCAGUGUCUUUCCAUCUUCCUUUUUUUCUCUUAUUUUUUCUGAGUUUAUUUCUUUUUUUAAUUUAAAUUUAUUGGAGUGACAUUGGUCAACAUGAACAUAUAGGUUUUGGGUGUGGGUUUCUAUACUGCACCAUGUGUCCACCUCCCUCUCUGAAUUUCUUUCCCAGUUCCUGGCUUCAUGUUUUCCCACGAGCACAAUAUAUGAUGGUUGCUCAAAUUCUCACUGCCAUAUACCACCCUUUCCUCAUCAACUGUCCCACAGCAGAAUGGUUCCUUUCAUCUCUCCUCGCCUGAGCACUCAUUGUAGGUCAUCUAGCAAAGUUUUAGGAAGAAGACAAUACAAAGAAACUAACUUUUCAGUUUGUAUUUUAUAAAAGGAAAUGCUAAUCUAAAUGAAUUAAUGGGUUAGGCAAUUGGGAACUAUGAUAUACAUUGCAUUGACUGCAGAAAGCAGUCAUCCGCGAAUGUCUAGACACGUGCUAUCCGAUAUCAAAGCCAUUAGGCUCAUGCGGCUAUUUAAAUCUAAAUUACUUAAUGUAGAAAUUGAGUUUCUCAUGUGCACUAGCUACAUUUCAAGUGCUCGAUGGCCGUAGCGGACAAACAGAUGUUGAACAUUUACAUCAUUGCAAAAACUUCACUAGAAAGCAUUGGUCUAAAACAGGUUGGGAACAUCUGGCCUGCCAAAACAUUAGGGGUGAGUUAAUUAAAUGUUAACCAAACAUAGCAAGGUAAUUUUUAAGUUAUUGAUUUUCUAUGUCUUGCAAACGAUGUUAUAAAUAUCCCAAUGGCCCUUGGCAGAAAAAAGGUUCCCCACACCCCUGGUCUAGAACAUUGCUACCCAAAAUGUAGUCCAUGGACCAGCAGCAUGCUUAUCACAUGGAAACUUACAGAAAGGCAGAUUCUUAGGUUUUCUCCAGACCUGCUGAAUCUGAACCUGGUAACAAGAUUCAUCAGGUGAUUAGCACUAACCUAAAUAUGUUUUAUCCCUCCUAGAUUUUAGGGACUUCUGGUCUUCAAAGGGUGCUCAGAAUAGCUCAUUCACCAACCCACUGUUUCAUAUCGCUUCUCCAGCUAACCCUAGAAAUCAGUUAAAACUCACUUAUUCUCAUUUAUCGCCCUAACUGAGCUUCUUCUCCACCCAUAUUCCUAAUUCAGGCUCUAGCUGAGCCCUACCUACCCAGUUAUAUUUUGGUAGCAAAGGUGGAGCACAGGAAAUUGGCUAACAAACACAGCUGGCCUCUCUCCAGCCCCUCACCCCACAUCUUUGUCACUAACAGUCUACAUUCACUCAGUUUGUUGCUCAUAUGGCAUUCUCAUUGGUUCACAACUUAAGUAACAGGAAAUAUUUUCAGAAGAAUAUGUACUGAGACAAGUAAAGACUGGUUCGGUUUCUUACAACUUCACUUUCUCUUAUCAGUAGAUUAUCCUGUUGACAUAGUUCAUGCUUGAGAACACAGCAGCACACACAUAUUAAAUGAACCAUUAGUCAUGAAAACCCAAGAUUGCAAAUAAAGUGAAUGUGCAUUAAAGCCCUCAAAGAAAGCAUUCGUUUGCUAAACUAAGUCUGUUAAUUAUGCUAAAUUACCUUGAUUUUCAGAUAGCUAAUAAUUCCUUAAAAUAGUGCCUGAAAAUACUUUAUCAUAUUCUUGACCUUGAAAAUACAAAUUAUUUAAUUCUACAAUAAGAUCUAUGCUGAUGACUUAAUAAUCCUUCACUUGAUGUGUACAUAUUGCUUACUGCCAAACAUUACUGCCUAGAUAUUCCAUAUCUAAUUUUCAUGAAUAAAAAGAGCACUACUUUAAUCUUCAUGGAAGUAAUUUUUAACAGGACUUGAGGAAGGAAAUAUUCAUGCAGAGCAUGACUUAGAAAAUUAUAUUGGAAAGUUCUAUACAUCCUUCUAAAGUAAGUGACCUUUUGUCUCCGAAUGGGCUGACAACAUAUUGGACCUUUGUGUUAUGCAGAUGUGAACUCUGUAAGAAUAUAGCUUUUCCUUAAGCUAUAAAAACUCUCUCAACCUUGAUAUCUAGGAUCUCUCCUGUCCUCCUCCCCUUAUUCCUGUAAAAUCAUCCUUCAUUUUUCAGAUGAAAUUUGGGUAAAACAGUGGGUUUAGAGAUUGAUGAUAUAAGUGGCAGUUUUAAAAGAUCAAGCUCUUCAAAUCAGUUGAAAAUAAUGAGAAGUGAAGGUUCCUCUGAUACUGUCAGACUCCCAGGGGGUCCCAUGUGCUUGGGGGCCAUGCCUCACCAUCACCUUCUCCACUCACCAUCCAUGCCAAGUCAGUGGAGCCUGGGACUUGUUUGUCUCUGCUGUGGCAUCUCCCCAGUGGCUUCCGUGUAGCAAUCUCCGCAUCACAUGGGUAGCAUGUAGGAUGCCUUCCUAAAGAAACAACCAAAACUUGUAAAAGGCUGUGAUAAUUGGCUUUAUAAUAAGCAAAGCACUAAUUUUUAAUCUUUAUAGUUGUUUUCUCUUUACUAUUAAUAUUUCCUCCAAGUUUUGUUUAGAGAUAUUUCUGUUAGGGUAAAAAACUGUAAAGAUUUAUUAUUACAAAGAACAGUGAGAUAAAAGACAGCUGGACUGUAUCUAUUUGUAUACUUCUUUUUGUUACUUUUCAGGAAAAGAAGUUUAGCAGAGUAACUCAGACUGCAUUAAACUCGUAGUAAUGUUUUAAAAAUUCCUAUUACUAACAUAGGUGAAGAGAUUAACUUCCUUCGUGUACUUAAGAUAUUGUAUUUACAUAUAUUUAUAUCCUCUCUUAAUUUUUUUAUGCACUUCCAAGUUUUAGUUGGAAAAAUAGAAACAAAGCCACUACUUAGAAGUUCUAAAAACUUUAAAUUUUUCAUUUUAGCUACAAGUAAUUCAUUGCAUAGGAAUUUAUUAAUAGUCUCCAUAUUUCAUAGGAAAUGCAUUUCAAGAGUAAAAUAGCCAAACUUAAAGAAAUAUAGGGUUACUUUAAAAUGUAUUAAAAUAAGUUUGAUACUCAGUUAAUGAUGCCAUUGAAGUAGGAUAAUGCAGUUAGAUAUACAAGCUAUAAAGGAAAAAAGCAUUUAUUUUGUGGUCCUUCCUGUUUGAUUGCACUAUUGUUCACCACAGCUUAGCCAUGUCUACUUCUAUAUUCUAACUAUUAAGCUGAUAUGUAACUAGGGAUUUCUUACAGUUCUGGUAACUGGUAACUAGUGCUGUGAAAGGUUUUGGUAUUGUAACAUUCCCAGUUUUGUGAGUUAUAUAUUGUAUAUUGAAGAUGAUUAAUAAAUUGAAGUAAUAUAUUUGACUAGAGCUGGGAAAACAUGGUAAUUAUUUUCAAAUGUUUAAGUUUAAUCAAAAAAAUUUUUUCUCUUAAGUGAGAUAAAAGUCUCACUUUUGUUAAAAUGUCUAUUUAUACAACAGGUUUCUCCUUUUAUUGAUUUUAUUAAUUUUCAUAUUAAAAUUUUUCUUAUCUUUUGUACCAAAAUAAUUAUCAUGCUAGGUAUUCGAACUGCCAAGAUGUAUUUUAGUUUGCUGGACUUUGGCAGACAAAAUAUUUAAUAACAAACCAGCUUUGUAUAUUUUGUGGCUUGGGGGGCAAGAUUUUACCUUUGAAUAUCUAAGUGCUGUUAUCAGCAAAGUCAACAUAGACAGUAUUACUUGUAAUUAUCAGUAGAAGAUUUUCACAGAUUGUAUAAAUCAGUGCAUUUAUUUAUUAUGUUGUGAAAUGUAAUCUUUAUACAAAUGCAUAUUCUAGCUCUUUUCUUGUAACUGCUGUUGCUUAGAGUGUAAUAGCCCUAUUAAUGAUUUACUUGCAUACUUGAAGUACUCAUUUCUGUCAAACAGAUGCCCAAUUUAUUUUUAAAAGCUAUGGAUAACUGAACAGUAAUAGAGAUGUUGUUAAAAAAAAUAAUUUUGUUUAAUAUAAAUAUGAAAAAAAGCAUAAAGCCAAAAUGGAAUCACCGCUCUUAGGAUUUAAUGUAGCCAGGAUCCCAUUCUGCUAUUUUUUGCCAAUCUGCAUAUAGUUUAUCUUCAAAUCAGAACUUCUUUUCUUCUGUAUUUGUUGUAAAAGACAUUUUAGGAUUAUACUGCCAGUAUGAAUUCAAAUGCACUUAAGAAACUUGAACCCCAAAAAAUCUCACAUACCUCCAGCAGCUAGCUCUAGGUUCCAGGAUGUAUAUUUUUAACAAUGGUUGCAUUUGAAUCUGGGCUACUUUACAAAUAGUAACCAUGGUGGAUAAUUUUGUUUCUGUCAAUUUUGUUUGUUUCUGUCAAUUAUGUCAAUGGCAUUUGAGUUCUGAAUUAUUCUUGUUUAAAAAUAUUCUCUAUACAACUAAUUGAAAAAACUAAAAUUCUAAACCAUAAUGGCAUGCAUGACACAGAAUAAAAUCACAUUUUCAAGAAAGAAAAUAAAACUGUUCUGACUUAAUGUGAGGCAGUGUUAGGAACCAAAGAAAUCACUUUAACGAGCCCUAAAUUCAACUGUCUCAUAGUGUAAGCUGUAGAUGAAUUGUGAACUAUUUUAGCACUAUAAUAGAUUAGGAAUUAAUUUACUAUAAUUUUAAAGACAGUUUUUGUUAAUUUUACUGUUGUACAAUUAUUGAAGGCAGGAAAAAAAAGAAAUUAUGGGAGAAACAUCAUGUGGAUAUUAAAAGAAAAAGAAACUUGAGUUCUUUUGAAAAGAUUUGGAAAUAGUUUGAAUUUAGAUAUCUUUUACCUUAUAUUAUAGAAACACAAAACACGUGUGAAUUGUAUGGUAGGUACAAGACCACAAAAACAAUGUCGCUCUGGUGAAGUCUAUUAGACCAUAUCUGUGUUUUAUCGAAGUAACCAGUGAAUUCAGGGGCCCAUUCUCCUGUUGAAAUUUAGAAGUCAGUGAAGCAGAUAGCUUGGAUAACCUAAUCUUUUGCAUUUCCUACAUGAGGCAAAUAUCUGUGCUUUCUCAACUUAGUGAUUGGUAUAGGGAGAACUAGUCAGAAGGCCUUAGCUAGUUCCUGUCGAAGAGCUCUGGUAAAUAUAGAUCAGACUAAAGAGAUUUUCAUGAAUUUGCUAAGCCUUCAAAUUUUUGGCAGUGAUAGAUUUUACUUUCAUUUGAAAAAAAAUUAUUAAAAUUUGUAUUAUAACACAUAGCUGAAUUCUGUGAUUCUUGAGGUGGGAAUAUGGUUUAGAUGUAUUGGGUUCCAUAACUGACUUUGAUACUGGCUCACUGUGUCCUUUCUACAAACUAUAUGUUUUGGUGCCUCGGUUUCCCCAAUUAGACAUAACAUACAAUAUUACUAAUUAUAAGUAUUUGGGAAUUUUUCUUUUACAAAAGGAGUUAUGUAAGCAUGAAUCAUACCUAAAUUUAUCAUUGCUUCCCCACUGUUAUUUGAGUUAUAAAGAAAAGCUUUCAAGACUAUAGCUUGAAAAUUAAAAUUCCCAAAUUAAUAUCUCUUGAUGCUCAGUCUUUUUACAGGAAGUUUUGUUAAAAUGAGAGUGAACUUACCUUAGUACUGUGAGUACGAGAGUAGGUUUGGGUAUUUUCCUCUGUGUACUACAGGUUCAUAUUAUUCAGUUUAGGGUCAACUAAAAACUCACUUCUAAAAUUUCCAAAAAUUUAGUGGUUUUUUUUUCUGCACCCACCCCAAACAACCAUUUUACAGCUGUGAAAGUUAAGACUUGCAUGUUUUUUCCUUAUAUUAGUAACUCCCUAAGAGGAAAAUGUUUUCCCUCCUUCCCACCUUCCUUCCUUUUUUCUUUCUCUUUUGGAAAAUGUUUCUUUAAAUCAGUGGUUGAAAAAAAUGGAACGCUUUUACCUUGUGACAUCACUGCUUCCUCUCUUAACUUGUAAUGUCACUCCCUAUGCUAAGUGAAUGAUGGUUCCUUGCUGUUUGAUCCAAACAUGUAGAUCCCACUACAUUCUCUGGCUGUGGCGUGCUACUUCCUAAUGUAAAUUACCUUCAAAACUUCCUGCAAAAAGACUAAACUAGAGAUUGCCUUAAUUAUUAUCAUAAUGUAAACCUGAGUGUAAUUAAAUGGAAAAAAAAAAAGUAGAAUAACCUACUUAAAAUCAUUAAAUAUAGAUGAGGGUAAAUGAAUAUAUGCCUUUAUUUUGCCUGAUAUUUGAAUUCAGUCACCAUCUGAUUCUUGACUUAAGAUUUCUUUGCAAAAUAUGAUAUUUUUUUAUAGCAUAAUAUUGUCACUUGGAGCUUCUAUUGCAUCCUCCUCCCCUAAAACUGUAUGACAUAAGGGAAAAGGUUGACUCUGAACUUAUUCAGAUAGUAUUUUGACCUGUCUUAAUAGCACAGCUUAGUUUUCAUAAUGACACAUUCCUUAAUUGAUGAUUCUAGAAUAAUUUGACAUAGUGACAGGAAUAAAUCAUUUUUCUGGGAACUUGCUUCCCACAAUGACCUAUUAUACGGUUGACCUUAGUAUAAUUAGGGUUAAUUAUAAUUUUAUUAAGAGCUGGCCCUUUAUACAGAUUACAACUGUGCGGCAGAUUUUAAUAUACAUACUGUUGAGGAUGAAAAUAAUGCAAACUUGAGCAGUUCUUUCUUUUGUUUCUUCUCCUUCUACUUGAAAAACUUUCAGAAAGCUUUGAGAGAUGACACCGUUUCCAGAGCAAUAUAUUCUUCCAGGAAACUCAUAAACUAAAAUAUGGAACAAAACAAAUGUUUAAUCCUAAUCUUGGUUUUGGGCUUUAUAAACAAAAGCAUUCUAUAUGUCAAAGUUUCUUUUUCAGAAUUUCUGCAGUUGCAUAUUUCAUUUUGUCCAUCUCAAAAAUUGAAUCAGCAGUUUAUGUUCUAUUUCUAAUUAGUUGUGGUAAGGCAAUAAUUGCUUUUGUCAGUACAACCUUUCACCAUUUUUCUCUCCUGUGCUUUUUCUGUUUUUCAGUAAACUCUUUUCUGACCUUCAUUGUCCCACUUCUAGUCUUACCUUCCUUAGGGUUGUCAGAGUGGUCUUUCUAAAACACAAAUCUGCUUUGCGUCACUUUACUAAAAGUUCUUAAAUACGCUCUUCUUUCUUUACAAUAUAGCAUCCUAACUCUUCAGCAUGAUGGAUAAUGAUCUCUAUAAACUUGAGUUUUUUGCAUCCCCACCCACCAAUUUCCACCCCCACCCCUUUUUUUUUAAAGCAUCCUUGCCCACCAUUUUCCUGGAAUUUGGAACCAUUCACAACUUAGUCCUCAACAUAAUCACAUCCUAUAGGUCAACUCAUUCAAGAUUCAGUUCAGAUUUCUCAAACCAAGUUAAGCUUUUCAUCCAUGCUCCAUAGAAUCUUGACAUUUUUUCUAUUAAAAAAAUUUCAACAAUUGUAUAUAUUAUAUGCCUGUCCCCCUUCUGAAUUUCUCUUGUUUAAUUUCUGGUCUCACCAUCUAGGAAGCACAUAAUAGGAUUUUAAUAAGUGUUUUUGAAUGAAGGAUGUAAAUAGAGAACCCAAACUUUUCCAUAGGUUUAUACUUUCACAAGUGAAAACUUGGGCGUCUCUGAGAGUCCACAUGAGGUCUGCACGUAUUCAUGAGCACACACACUGAGAAACCAACAGAAGAUGGACAGAGGGAAGAACAGUCACUUUAUGAAGGAUAACCAUUUGUUAACUAUUCAUCAGAGACUCUUACCAAGUCUGAAUUCUUGUUUCUAAAUAUGAGGCUUAUCAAAAUCACAUAACUGACAAAUUCUUAUUUGUAAUUCCUAAAUGUGCUGUAAAGGUGAUCUUUAUCUUUUGUAGACAUUCGGUAUUCACAUCUAUAUAAAACAUACACUGAUUACCUACACAAAAUAAUGAGACUUCAGAAAGAAUAAAAACAAUAAUGAAGGUGAAAUUUUCUUUUAAAUAAUGUUCAACCAAAGAUAUUGACUGAAUUUUUGUGAUUUCAGGUCAAGUGUAGCUAAUGUCUAUUUCUCUUUAUUCUGAUGCAAAUGUAAGGCUUGUUUAUGACUUUCACCCAUUAUAGAAUAUAAAGAAUAAAAGCUAUUAUCUGUGCA